GCAGCCGUCUGUGCCACCCAGAGCCGGCGGGCCGCUAGGUCCCCGGAGACCCUGCUAUGGUACGCGCGGGCGCCGUGGGGGCACAUCUCCCCGCGUCCGGCUUGGAUAUCUUCGGGGACCUGAAGAAGAUGAACAAGCGCCAGGUGACGGAGGAGGGUGCAGCUUUCGUGUCACCUGGGAAUGUGUCUGAAGUGCAGUCCUCAGGCAUCACCAGCUGAUCCUAGUGCACGCUGAUGCUUGCGUUGCUGCUGUAAAGAACGGUCCAUACACCGAGAAGUCAGAACCACAUAGAACCACCUGGCAAGUCUCUAUUUGGACUUCCUGAGUGUCUUUCACUCUGACUUUUCCAGGCCUUGUGUACUUUAGACUGUAUUUAAACUGUUUAAAACUGUAUUUUAAGUUGUACUCAAUGCUCAAAGAGUUCAUACCACCACCUUCCAUCUCAGUUAAUAUUAAAUUUGGAUAGUUGAGGAAAAUGAUGUUGCCCAGAGCCACGUGAUCCAGGUCCUCACUCCAAACUCAAUUCAAAAGUAUGUUCUGGAAAGCUGGUAGGGAGCUAAGGUGGGAUCUAACCUGUCUAACAUCACUGCCUCCAAAACACUAAAACUAUAUUAAUAGCAAGGAGAGUUUAGAAGUUAUCAGUUACUCAAGGAUAUGCCCAGGAAAGGAAACAAGAUCAGCCAAAUACUAGAAGCUGGAAAACAGAUGGAAGAAUGGGAACUGGCACAGCCAGAGAAAGCCAGGAUGUGAGCGGCACUGGGGGAGGCUGUGGCUCUUCAGGUUUGUGAGGCAGAGAGAGUCCUCAGAGACCCAGGAAUUGGUGUCCCCAGAACUGAAGGUGAAGGGGAGGUAGGGCUGAAGUAAAUUUGAUUGGGUAGAAAAGCAGAGAAGUAGUGAGACCCCUCGCUGUCCUGUGUCUUCCACCCAGAGGCCUCAACCUCCUCAGCAGAGGUCUGGGAGUUCAUUCCCUGGAGAGGGGAACAGAAAUCUCUGGAGGAAAGGCUGCCAGGCCUGGUGGGGGUUGUGGCUGCCACCCUAUAAGUGACUGUGCACACUGCAUGCUGAGAGUAGAAAAACAGAAGUGAGGGGUGAAGGACCUCAGGUGUACACAGAACACGGGUCCUCAGGUGUACACAGAAGUGAGCACAGAUGCCAGGAGAAUAGGCACUUGUGGCCCGGUGGAA
rnacentral:sRNA from 1 species